GUUAGGAAUAUUGGACAAUGGGCGAAAGCCUGAUCCAGCCAUGCCGCGUGAACGAUGAAGGCCUUCGGGUUGUAAAGUUCUUUAGCCGAUGAUUAUAAUGACUGUAGUCGGAAAAUAAGCCCCGGCUAACUUCGUGCCAGCAGCCGCGGUAAUACGAAGGGGGCGAGCGUUAUUCGGAAUCACUGGGCGUAAAGCGUGCGUAGGCGGUUUUGUAAGUUAGGAGUGAAAGCCAAGCGCUCAAACUUGUAAUUGCUCUUAAAACUGCAAGGCUCGAAUCUCGGAGAGGAUAGCGGAAUUUCCAGUGUAGCAGUGAAAUGCGUAGAUAUUGGAAGGAACACCAGUGGCGUAAGCGGCUAUCUGGACGAGUAUUGACGCUGAGGCACGAAAGCGUGGGGAUCAAACAGGAUUAGAUACCCUAGUAGUCC
rnacentral:rRNA from 1 species